GGCCAUCUAGAACCUAUUUGGGAUUCGGUAUUAAGUCUUCGUAGGUUCAAUAUUUAAGAUAACAACUGUUUUCUUUUUAGAUUUCAGGACCAGUUUGGCAUUAAAGAUGUGUUGGGUGCUGUUGAUGGAACGCACAUAUGUAUUGUUGCUCCGCCCAUCACACACCCAACAGCACCGCGAUCCCUUUUUUUUAAUAGAAAGGGGGCUUAUAGCAUUAAUGCUCAAGUAAGCUGUGAUUCAAAAGGCCGGAUCACCAACGUUAACGCAAAUUUCCCGGGGUCGACCCACGACGCAGCUGUUUGGGGGGCGUCAAAUGUCAAUAAACACCUGCGGGCAGAGUAUGUGGCUGGUGAAGAAAACCAGUGGAUGCUCGGUGACAAGGGAUAUCCUACUCUGCCGUGGCUUUUGACGCCCCUGCCAGACGACUGCGUCUCUCAGUCCAGAAGCGCGGUAUAACGACGCGCACAUACGCGCCCGAAACAUAAUAGAAAAAUGUUUCGGGCGUCUGAAAAAUAAAUUUAGGUGCUUGCAUAAACACCGCACACUACAUUACGCGCCACGAAAGGCAACAAAAAUAUUUUUGUCCUGUUGCACACUCCACAACAUGCAUUUGGAGCCAUUGGACGAUGAAUAGGAGGAUCAACAGGAAGACGCAGCCGCAGCAGUGGAACCGGCUAUGGAUCCUGCAAACGAUUUCGUGCGGGAAGGCCGGGCCACACGUCAGCGAGUUAUAACACGGGAUUUUUUGUUUUAGUUUUUUAUUUUAUUAAAUUUUAAAUAUACCUAAAAACUAUGUCGUUUUUAUCUACGAGAGUCUAUAGCCUGAGCAAUUAUUUGAGCAGACUCCAAUAAUGCGUUCGCAAUUGUAUUCGCGCUUUCUGUAAGGGCUUCGCGGAGAGCCUCGGAGUUUCUCUGGAGCU